GUGGCUGUAGUAUAGUGGUUAGUACCCCACGUUGUGGCCGUGGAGCCCUGGGCUCGAUUCCCAGCAGCCACA
rnacentral:tRNA from 1 species